AAACAUAUUUAACCGCUAACAAAUUCCUAAAGCUCCAAAGAACGAAAGUGAAGCUCUUCCACAGUGAUAAAAAAGUCCAUAAGUUAUUAAAUUGAGUCAUAUUAUACUGGUUGCUGUGCUGAAUUGAAACAAACGGGACCGAAAACAUCAAGUUGGCAACCGUUUGCAGGCAUUGUAGGUUAGUUUCUUAUCACAAGUCGACUUUUAUCAAUACCUACUACUUUUGUUUAUACCGGCAUUUCACGUAACUUUACUUGGGCUUAUUUAUUAAAAUUUGACAUUUUGAGGCUUCAGAAUAAUCUACCGGAGAAUUUUCACAGCUUGCUCAGUUUAAAGUCUUAAGGAGAUUUGAAGACUAGGAAAUGAGUCAAUAAAGCCGAAACACGCCCUACUACCGAAAGCUUUGAAAAAGCAGCGAAGAUCGGAACUUCAUGAGAACCCGAAUGAGAUGUCACAAAAAUUUUACGGUCCUCUCGCGGUGAUCAAUUUCCUCCUUUAUCUUUUUUAUUUCGUUCUGGGGCUUUAAACGAUGUCUCCGACUCAAAGCAAGCAGAAGAGCUAUUUAAGAGAUUGUUCAUUCAACAACGAGUCAAGGGCAGCUAGAGGCAGUGAAGCGUAUCAGAACUUUGGCCGGUGAGAAACGGCAGAAUCUCAUGAUUGCCACUGCAGCUGAAAGUAUUUUCAAGCUCUCUCCAACAUACUUGAAACACAGCCUGGUUUGGUGA
rnacentral:lncRNA from 1 species